CUGCUUUCUCUUUAAGCAACCUGGGAGGGUCGAGCACUUUGGUUUUGAAGUCUUCACCAAAGGUGGAUAUAAAAACUGGAAGAGUGCAUCCAAUGGAUUGAAAGAUCAUGUUGGUGGUCAUGGUAGUAUGCACAACUCAUGUAUGAAGCACUAUGAUGAUUAUAAUAAUCAAAGACAAAGUAUAGCAAGUAAGUGUCUUAGAGCAACGAGAAUCUGAAGAAUUGUACAAGAUCUGUUUGACUUGUUCCUUAGAUUGUUCAAGAUAUCUCAUAGCACAAGGCAUGGCUUUCCGUGGCCAUAAGGAAUCCCUUACUUCUCUAAACAAGGGCAAUUUUAGAGAGACGGUAGAUUGGGUAAAAUCUAAUGAUGAACAAGUGAGAGAUGCUUUUGACUGUGGUGCAAAAGAUUGCAUAAUGAUUUGCAGUGACAUUCAAAAGGACUUUGCAAUGUCUUGUGCACAUGAAGUUACCAAGGUGAUUAUGGAAGAGCUUGGUGAUAGACAAUUCUCUGUGCUUAUUGAUGAGUCACAUGAUAUAUACGUCAAAGAGCAAAUGGCGGUGAUGUUUAGGUUAGUAGUUGUAUCUUCCAAUUUCUAUUUCCAAUGUCACUAAUCUUCAUCAUUACCGGGCUGAUAUUUUUUAUGUUGCUAUUGACAAAAUAUGUGUGGAGAUGGAUCACCGCUUUAAUGAAGGAAGUAACAUUGUGCUUAAUUGUUUCUCAUGUCUUGACCCCAAGAAUUCUUUCUCCAAGUUUGAUGUUGAUAAGGUUGCUCGUCUUGCUGAUAUUUAUCAUGCAGACUUUUCUGAUGUAGACCGUGGAACAAUAAGGGAGCAACUUGAGACUUAUGUAGUUCACGUGAAAAGACAUGUUUCAUUUUCUACUUGUGGAGAUGUUCAAAGUUUGGCUAUGAAGAUGGUUCAAACUAGUAAACAUUUUGUAUUUCCAUUGGUCUACAAACUUAUUGAGUUGGCUUUGAUAUUACCGGUAUCGACAGCAUUCGUUGAAAGAGCUUUUUCCGCAAUGAAGAUUAUUAAGACUAAAUUGCGCAACAAGAUCAACGAUGAGUGGUUCAAUGACUUGAUGAUAUGUUACACCGAGCGGGAGAUAUUCAAGUCACUUGAUGAUGUUGAUAUUAUCAGAACCUUCACCGCAAAGAAGUCUCGGAAAGAGAAUUUGCCUCCUAGUUUUAUGUAGUACACUAUUGGUAUGUUAUAUUUCAUCCCUCUUAUUUGACUCAUGUUUUAUUGGUUUAAAUAUUACUGUAUCUAGAAAUUGGGUUGAUAAAAUUCCCUCCAAAAUUUUGCCUAGACUCUCUAACAUUCCUGGAAUCGCCAAAGAUCAUGCCAUACUUAGAUGAUUUCCAACCACAAAAAGCGUCUAAUAGUAGAGGAGGGAGCAUCCACAAGGGUGGACAAACAUCCGGUGCUUCAUUUCGUGCUCAACUUUUCCAAGAUAAUGAACCUGAUCCAACAAUGUUAAACGUGCACGAGUACUUCCACAAAAAACCUAACGGGAUAUGGGAUACAGUAGAAGCGGCACGAGUACAAAGAGAGAUGGAACAGUUUGAAGAAAGUUUUAAUGCUCAAUAAAAUGCUCUUCCACCUAGUGAGCAGGCUAUUGAAGAGGUUAGAGACACAAUAAUUGCUAGACCAAUUUGUCGAGGUUGCUGGCGGGAUGCAAAAAAAAAAAGUCUAAGGGGGCAAGGCAAUGCAUCUUCAUUGGUGAUAAAGACCCCGAUGGGAUAUAGACUUGAUCCUAGCUCCACUCUUAGUAACGUAUGAUCGAGUAGUUAUACGGAUCGAUCUCAUGCAGCUGUCAAUUUUGAAGAGAUGGAACGCUGACUUAAAGCUGACAAUGAUGCUUGGGUUCAAGCCGAGGUUGCAUCUCAGCUCAAAUCUCAUCUCGACACAAUGAGGUCGCAGCUCCGAGUUGAAACAAUGGAGGACAUGGAUUUAAUUAUCCAAAGGACACUUUUACAACGCGAUAUUCGGGGGCAACAAUAUCAACGUCAACCACAACAGCAAAACUCCCAAAAUAUGUUUGCUCGCCACUCAGCAUAUGUCAGCUCGAAUCCUCAUCAGCAACACCAGCGAUACAUGCUGCAGAUGCCAUCUCGCCACUCAUCAGUUCAGGAGACCUCGCGAUUUCAGCCUAUGUCAUUUCAAAGCAAUUCAUCACCACUUCAAGAGUCCGGCGACAGUUCUCGAUUUGUAGGCCAAACGUCUAAUCAGAGCUUGACAUGUCAGAAACUCGCCUAUCGACCUACUGUUGAUUUCAAUCAACCGACGAGUCAAGUUCCACCAUUUAAUGUUGUCAAUCUCACAAAUAAUAGUAAUAAUAUGAUCAAUGAAGAAUUUAUUUCAGACUUUCUUCCCCCUUUUGACAAUCAAGGUGUAAAUCAAGGCGACAAUCAAGACCGAAAUGUAGGCAGUGGAAUCAGACGAGGACAAAAUGAAAAUCAAGGUGAUUACUAUAAUAAUAAUAAUAAUAAUAAUAAUGGUAAUGGUAAUUAGAUAUUAGUGGAUAUCAGGCCUGCAGCCUUUUUUGCUUCUACCGCCCUUGCAUUGUUUGUGACUUUGGCGCGAGAUCUGCGUUGCAUCUUUGUCUAUUGAAUAUUGUCAUUUUGCUCAAAAUGUAUUUUGAAAGGUCAUGUUGUUGGGGACUGUAGCAUAAGUGGUGCUGUUAAAUCUUAGAUUAAGGGUUAUCAUUUUGAAUUAUUGGGUGGAGUUGGCUUGGUGCUUCAAUUUGGGAGUGUCACUAGCAAUACUGCAGAGAUGAUUUUUAGCUUUAUUAUUGGUUGGAGUUGGCUUGGUGCUUCAAUUUGGGAGUGCUUCAAUUUGAAAGAUCACAUACUGUCACUAGCUUGGUCUGAUAUAUGUACACUAGCUUGUAUUGUUUUGAGUAUUGCAUUUUCUAACCUGUAACUUUGGUGCUUGGAUCCUGGUAGUUUCUUAUAGGUUGGUGUAGUUUUAUGUUGAAUUGGAGAACUAUAGUGUUUGGAUAUAGUUCCU